rnacentral:rRNA from 1 species
AGGAAUAUUGGUCAAUGGGCGUAAGCCUGAACCAGCCAAGUAGCGUGAGGGAAGACUGCCCUAUGGGUUGUAAACCUCUUUUGUGCGGGGAUAAAGUGUGGGACGUGUCCCAUAUUGCAGGUACCGCACGAAUAAGGACCGGCUAAUUCCGUGCCAGCAGCCGCGGUAAUACGGAAGGUCCGGGCGUUAUCCGGAUUUAUUGGGUUUAAAGGGAGCGCAGGCCGUCCUUUAAGCGUGCUGUGAAAUGCCGCGGCUCAACCGUGACACUGCAGCGCGAACUGGAGGACUUGAGUACGCACGAGGUAGGCGGAAUUCGUGGUGUAGCGGUGAAAUGCUUAGAUAUCACGAAGAACUCCGAUUGCGAAGGCAGCUUACCGGAGCGCAACUGACGCUGAGGCUCGAAAGCGCGGGUAUCGAACAGGAUUAGAUACCCUGGUAGUCCGCGCGGUAAACGAUGGAUGCCCGCCGUUGGGAUUUAGAUUUCAGCGGCCAAGCGAAAGCGUUAAGCAUCCCACCUGGGGAGUACGCCGGCAACGGUGAAACUCAAAGGAAUUGACGGGGGCCCGCACAAGCGGAGGAACAUGUGGUUUAAUUCGAUGAUACGCGAGGAACCUUACCCGGGCUUGAAUUGCAGGAGAACGAUCCAGAGAUGGUGAGGCCCUUCGGGGCUCCUGUGAAGGUGCUGCAUGGUUGUCGUCAGCUCGUGCCGUGAGGUGUCGGCUCAAGUGCCAUAACGAGCGCAACCCCUGUCCAUAGUUGCCAUCAGGUCGUGCUGGGCACUCUGUGGAGACUGCCGCCGUAAGGUGUGAGGAAGGUGGGGAUGACGUCAAAUCAGCACGGCCCUUACGUCCGGGGCUACACACGUGUUACAAUGGGGCAUACAGCGAGUUGGAUGUGCGCAAGUACGUCCGGAUCAAUAAAGUGCCUCUCAGUUCGGACUGGGGUCUGCAACCCGACCCCACGAAGCUGGAUUCGCUAGUAAUCGCGCAUCAGCCAUGGCGCGGUGAAUACGUUCCCG